rnacentral:lncRNA from 1 species
CAUUUACCCAUUAAGUUAACUAUCAGUUAUAAAAAAAGAAGCCACAGGCACAAACUGUAGUGCAUCUAACGAUGUUAUUUUAUCUUAUUUCCCCCAGCUGGCAACCAUAACGACUCACAAAGCAAUAACGGAAAGGAGUGGCCAUGAACUGGGUGUUGAGGCUGAGCAUCAGGGGAGCCAUGGGACACUGUGGGAAGACCGCGGGAGAGACAGGGAGCCUUUUCGCGCAAAGGGGGACAGAGCUCUGGGGCUGCUCCACCUGGCUCUGUGCCACGGCCAUGAAGGAGGAAGAUGCCCCUUGAAAAGAGCAAUGUUUAUACUGCAAAAAGAGCCACCAUAGUAUCCGUUAUCCCUGCCUGCCCAGCUUCUCAGACGAAUAUCACUUAAGGCAGCAAGAGGCAAUUCAGCUGAAGAAAUGAAAGCAAGACUAGUCUUCUUGCAGAAAGUAGACAUUUUGCAAAAACAAAUGGAGCAGAGAGAAGACUGGCUGUCUGUGACUGAAACGACCAUGACAGGACAAUCUCUCAGUACAUCAGAUGGAUAAAAUAACAGCAGACUUCUCUGUGGAAAUCUGAUUGAAACACACUCAUAUGAGGCGCCUGGGUUUUUCUCAGAGAAUGGAAAUUAAGAUUGCAGUAACUUUUUUAUACCUGUUCAAAUACGUUCCAGUCCUCCAUUUUUUUUCCCAGUAAGGAGACAGAGAGGCUUGGACAUGUCCUGUUGCUUUCAGAUGCGGUUUGGAAUUGCUGAAUAUUUCACAAGAAGCAAUUUUUCUGGGGAUAAUGCCUGCAACUUGGGCUGAAAUUGUAUCAGUGCCUGUGGCAUUUCAGAACCAGAGAAGGCCAGAGUGCCACACAGCAAGCUACUUACUGCUGUCACCAGGCAGCAGAACAAAAAUCUUUUAUGCCACCCUAUUGUUCGGCAGUAAAUAGGAGCCUCUGGGGAAGGGAAAAAGUAGCUUUUUUUUCCUGCUAAUGGAUUUUCCUCUGGAGUAAUCAAUUCAGUUUUGGAUGACUCCCAAAGGAUAAUUUUUCUCCCUUUUCCAAG